rnacentral:rRNA from 14 species
AGCGAACGCGGAAAAGCCUAAACCGAUAGAAUUUAUUCUGUCGGGGUCGUGGGAUCAGACAUAACGGGAGAAGAAGAUUAACAAAAGUGUAUGGAAAAGCACACCAUAGAGCGUGAUAGUCGCGUACCCGAAAAUUUUCAACUCCUAGUUUGGCACCCGAGUAAUGCGGGACACGAGGAAUCUUGCAUGAAUUUGCCGGGACCAUC